AAAUGUGUGGGUGAUCUGGCUGCGACAUCUGUCACCCCACUGAUCACCAGGGUUACUCGGCUGAUCUGGCUGACUAAGCAGGUGUCCCCUUCCUUCCUCGCCACCACCCUUGCUGAAGCUGCACACUCAGUCUAAGAAGACAACCAUCCCCGAUACAGGAGGACCGUUUUUCAGUCAAGGGGACAUGAGUAGCUGCACUCUUCUUCUGGAACCUUCCAACAAGUUCUCAAGGUCCAAACAUGUCAGCCAGGGAAGAAGCAGGUGGAGAAAGCUGGGCGUCU
rnacentral:snRNA from 1 species